CGGCAACGCCGCGUGGGGGACGACGGCCUUCGGGUUGUAAACCUCUUUUAGUAGGGAAGAAGCGAAAGUGACGGUACCUGCAGAAAAAAGCACCGGCUAACUACGUGC
rnacentral:rRNA from 1 species